rnacentral:rRNA from 1 species
GACGAACGCUAGCGGGAGGCUUAACACAUGCAAGUCGAGGGGCAGCACGAGGUAGCAAUACUUUGGUGGCGACCGGCGCACGGGUGAGUAACGCGUAUGCAACCUACCCUGUACAGGGGGAUAACCCGGAGAAAUUCGGACUAAUACCCCAUAAAGAUAUUUAGAGGCAUCUUUGAAUAUUUAAAGUUACGACGGUACGGGAUGGGCAUGCGUGACAUUAGCUAGUUGGUAGGGUAACGGCCUACCAAGGCUUCGAUGUCUAGGGGUCCUGAGAGGGUGAUCCCCCACACUGGUACUGAGACAGGGACCAGACUCCUACGGGAGGCAGCAGUGAGGAAUAUUGGUCAAUGGGCGCAAGCCUGAACCAGCCAUCCCGCGUGAAGGAAGAAUGCGCUAUGCGUUGUAAACUUCUUUUCCAGGGGAAGAAAACCUGAUACGUGUAUCGGCUUGCCGGUACCCUGGGAAUAAGCAUCGGCUAACUCCGUGCCAGCCGCCGCAGUAACAC